UACGGAGGGUGCGAGCGUUAUUCGGAAUUACUGGGCGUAAAGCGCGCGUAGGCGGCGUUAUAAGCCGGUGGUGAAAGCCCGGGGCUCAACCUGGGAACGGCAUCCGGAACUGUAAAGCUAGAGUGCAGGAGAGGAGGGUAGAAUUCCCGGUGUAGCGGUGAAAUGCGUAGAGAUCGGGAGGAAUACCAGUGGCGAAGGCGGCCUUCUGGACUGACACUGACACUGAGGUGCGAAAGCGUGGGUAGCAAACAGG
rnacentral:misc_RNA from 1 species